UACGUAGGGGGCAAGCGUUGUCCGGAAUCAUUGGGCGUAAAGAGCGUGUAGGCGGUCCGGUAAGUCGGCUGUGAAAGUCCAGGGCUCAACCCUGGAAUGCCGGUGGAUACUGUCGGGCUAGAGUCCGGAAGGGGCGAGUGGAAUUCCUGGUGUAGCGGUGAAAUGCGCAGAUAUCAGGAGGAACACCAAUGGCGAAGGCAGCUCGCUGGGACGUGACUGACGCUGAGACGCGAAAGCGUGGGGAGCAAACAGG
rnacentral:rRNA from 1 species